AACGAACGCUGUGGCCAUGCCUUACACAUGCAAGCCGAACGAGACCUUCGGGUUUCGUGGCGCACGGGUGCCUAACGCGUGGGAACUUGCCUUUAGGUUCGGAAUAACUCCGGGAACUUUGAGCCAAUACCGGAUCAUGUCUUCGGACCAAAGAUUUAUCGCCUUUAGAUAGACCCGCGUUAGUUUAGCUUGCUGGUGGGGUAAAGGCCUACCACGGCGAAGAUCCAUAGCUGGUCUGAGAGGUAGAUCAGCCACACUAGGACUGAGACACCGCCCAGGCUCCUACACGAGGCAGCAGUUGGGAAUAUUGAACAAUGUCCGCAAGCAUGAUCGAACAAGGCCGCGUGAGUGAUGAAUGCCGUAGCGGUGUAAAGCUCGUUGACCUAAGCGGAUAAUGACAGUAACGGGAGGAAAAGCGCCGGCCAAGUCCAGG
rnacentral:rRNA from 1 species